GAUGAACGCUGGCGGCGUGCCUAAAACAUGCAAGUCGAGCGAACGGACGAGAAGCUUGCUUCUCUGAUGUUAGCGGCGGACGGGUGAGUAACACGUGGAUAACCUACCUAUAAGACUGGGAUAACUUCGGGAAACCGGAGCUAAUACCGGAUAAUAUUUUGAACCGCAUGGUUCAAAAGUGAAAGACGGUCUUGCUGUCACUUAUAGAUGGAUCCGCGCUGCAUUAGCUAGUUGGUAAGGUAACGGCUUACCAAGGCAACGAUGCAUAGCCGACCUGAGAGGGUGAUCGGCCACACUGGAACUGAGACACGGUCCAGACGCCUACGGGAGGCAGCAGUAGGGAAUCUUCCGCAAUGGGCGAAAGCCUGACGGAGCAACGCCGCGUGAGUGAUGAAGGUCUGCGGAUCGUAAAACUCUGUUAUUAGGGAAGAACAUAUGUGUAAGUAACUGUGCACAUCUUGACGGUACCUAAUCAGAAAGCCACGGCUAACUACGU
rnacentral:rRNA from 1 species